GUCUGAGUGGAUAGUCUGUGGGAGAGGGAGAGCAGUAGUUCUUUACCAUUUAAAGAGCGACUGACCCUAAUUCCAACGAAUCACUUUGAAAACGGUCUAUGUGGCAUCGAUAUGAGUGUCAAAAUUGACUACAAAGUGUAAAUACCAUAAUUUUGGUCAUAAAGUCAGUCUUAUCUAAAACGGAGUUUGGAAGCUCAGUGGGUCACAACGCGUUCAAAGGUCACAGCCAUUUGAGACUGAAAAGCUCUAUAUGGAUUGAUCAACUAUGGUUUGCAUGCCCUGCCAAAUGACUCUAUCAUGCGGAAUAGAUGGCUGGAGUUCGUUGGUCCCCAGUGGUGACAAAGUGCCCAGUUGGGUGCCAGACUUAUCCCCUGGUCAGGAACAGAUGCCAGGGCUUACCUCCUCCCAGCUGCCCACUGCACUGAGGCUAGCUUGUCAAGUCAGACCACAAGUCCCCUUGUGACACCACCUCCGUUGUUGCCAGUGUCCUCGACUCUUAUGAAAAGGAACAGGCCAUCAUGAGGCCUCUGAUAGUGAACCGAGUUACUGCGCUGAUGACAGACGGCUUCAUCAACAACAACGGGUAAUGUGUGUUAUGUAAAAAGUUGUAUAAAAAAAUACCCAGCUUGAUAAACUAGUUAGCUAAUUCCCCAGCCAAGCAGAUACAACUUGUGGAGUC